rnacentral:rRNA from 1 species
GACAGAGGGUGCAAACGUUGUUCGGAAUUACUGGGCGUAAAGCGCGUGUAGGCGGCUAUGUAAGUCGGGCGUGAAAUCCCACGGUCACCACGUGGAAGUGCACCCGAAACUGCGUAGCUAGAGUCCUGGAGAGGAAGGUGGAAUGCUUGGUGUAGAGGUGAAAUUCGUAGAUAUCAAGCGGAACACCGGUGGCGAAGGCGGCCUUCUGGACAGUGACUGACGCUGAGACGCGAAAGCGUGGGGAGCAAACAGGG